GAGUUGUGACCUUUGAGCUUUUUCGUUCAAAAGAUCUCUCUCCUUAUUCUUCACCGAGAAACGGCGGCGGCGGCCGGAAUCUCCUCUCACUCUCCGAUUUCACAACUCCGCCGUGGACGCCUUCUGGCCACCACGAACUCUCCCUCCCUGUUCUCUCGAUCUCCUCUCCGAUCCAAUUCUCAAACUCUCGCCCUCACCUCUCUGAUUUCGUACCUCAAACUCUCAUCUCAAUCUCAUCUCUCUCUGAUUCGACGUGGCUCCGGCGACCUUCCGAGCUCGUUGGAGAUGACGAGGAAAUCCGAUAAAUUCUUCAAGAACUCAGUAGAUGACGAUGAUGAUUGAGAUUGAAGCUAUGGAGGUUGCGUAGCAACGGUGAUUUUUGUGGUGAUUGGAUUGAACUGAGAGAGAAGAUGAAGGUCCUCUUGUUGAAGAUCGAUUGAAGAAUGUAUGGAGAGUUGAUAUUUUGUGAUGAAGAUAGGAAGAUGAAGAUUCGAUGAAGGUGGAGAGUUUUCAGGUGAUGAUGAUGAUUAGACUGAAGAGCGAUGAAGAAGAUGAAAUUUCUUUGUUGAUUUUCUGUUGGGAUUUUCCUUAUGAUUCUUGGUCUCUGUUUGCCGAUUGAAGAAUUGGUAGAGGAUUUUUUUUGAAGGUUGGUAGUGAUUGAAGAUGGUUGAAGGUUGAAGAGUGGGAUGAAGGAGAGUGACUCUGUGCUUGAAGUGUGAAGAGAAAGAUUGAAGGGUGUGGAGAAGGAGAAAGAGGAUGAAGGAGAUUGAAUGGAGAGAGAGUUCUGUUAUAUAGGUUAAUGGAAGAGAGGGACCGAUUUUCUUUGUGUUUCCGCAGCUUGUUUUCGGUUCGAGAUGGCAAGAUCGGUUUUUAUUGUGCAGGGAUGUUUUGGAUGGCUGUAGGGUCGGUUUUAGAGGUGAAGAGAUUGAAGCUUCAAG